rnacentral:tRNA from 2 species
GCCCGUGUGGGGUAGCUACGGGGAGGGGCCGUUCCCUUUCCUGCUACACUGGAUAUCCUAGAGGCCUGCGGAGUCUCAGACCUGGGUUCAAAUCCCAGCACGGGCG